AACGUAGGACACAAGCGUUAUCCGGAGUUACUGGGCGUAAAGGGCGUGUAGGCGGAUCGGUAAGUCUACUCUGAAAGCUCCUGGCUAAACUGGGAGAGGCGAGUGGAGACUGUCGGUCUAGAGUGAGGAAGAGGAAAGUGGAAUUCCCGGUGUAGUGGUGAAAUGCGUAGAUAUCGGGAGGGAACACCAGUGGCGAAGGCGGCUAAUCUGGGCUGAAACUGAC
rnacentral:rRNA from 1 species